rnacentral:rRNA from 1 species
AACGAACGCUGGCGGCAGGCUUAACACAUGCAAGUCGAACGGUUGCAGCAAUGCAGCAGUGGCAGACGGGUGAGUAACACGUGGGAACCUUCCUAGGGGUACGGAACAACUCAGGGAAACUUGAGCUAAUACCGUAUACGUCCGUGAGGAGAAAGAUUUAUCGCCCUUAGACGGGCCCGCGUCGGAUUAGCUAGUUGGUGGGGUAACGGCCUACCAAGGCGACGAUCCGUAGCUGAUCUUAGAGGAUGAUCAGCCACACUGGGACUGAGACACGGCCCAGACUCCUACGGGAGGCAGCAGUGGGGAAUCUUGGACAAUGGGCGCAAGCCUGAUCCAGCCAUGCCGCGUGAGUGAAGAAGGGUCUUCGGAUUGUAAAAGCUCUUUUGCCAGGGACGAUAAUGACGGUACCUGGAGAAUAAGCCCCGGCAAAACUUCGUGCCAGCAGCCGCGGU